rnacentral:tRNA from 1 species
CAUUGUUGGGGCGCCUCUUUCUCUCUAUCUAAUAAAAAGAAGCGUUUUUACCUGCUGUUUUGUGAUUGUUGGAACA